rnacentral:rRNA from 1 species
GACGAACGCUGGCGGCGUGCCUAAUACAUGCAAGUCGAGCGACUCUGCCUUGAGGAUUUGAGUUCUUGCACUCUGUGAAACAAGCUACAGACUAGCGGCUGACGGUUGAGUAAUACGUGGGUAACCUGCUCAAGAAAUCUGCAUUACUCCUGGAUACAGAUGCUAAUACCGAACAACAACAGAUGAUACCUAUCACCUUUUUAUAAGAUGGUUCUGCUAUCACUCUUGGACGGACCUGCGGUGCAUUAGCUAGUUGGUAGGGUAACGGCCUACCAAGGCGAUGAUGCAUAGCCGAGUUGAGAGACUGAUCGGCCACACUGGGACUGAGACACGGCCCAAACUCCUACGGGAGGCAGCAGUAGGGAAUCUUCGACAAUGGACGCAAGUCUGAUGGAGCAACGCCGCGUGAGUGAAGAAGGGCUUCGGCUCGUAAAGCUCUGUUGUUGGGGAAGAAGGACAGCGGGAGUAACUGACCCUUGUUUGACGGUAAUCAAUGAGAAAGCCACGACUAACUACGUG